rnacentral:rRNA from 1 species
AAACAUCGCCUCUUGAAAAACAUAAGAGGUCCAGCCUGCCCAGUGACACUGUUCAACGGCCGCGGUAUCCUAACCGUGCGAAGGUAGCGUAAUCACUUGUCCUUUAAAUGAGGACUAGUAUGAACGGCACCACGAGGGUUACACUGUCUCCUCUUUCCAAUCAGUGAAACUAAUCCCCCCGUGAAGAAGCGGGGAUACGUCUAUAAGACGAGAAGACCCUAUGGAGCUUUAAACGAAACAACAUUUGCUACCACACACACGAAUCUCAGGAAAUCAACCCUUAUUUUAGCAUUAUGCUUGCCAGUUUUAGGUUGGGGUGACCGCGGAGUAAAAAAUAACCUCCACAAUGAAUAGGGGACCUCCCCUAAGCAAAAAGCCACAACUUUAUGCAUCAACAAAUUGACAUCAAUUGACCCAAUAUUUUGAUCAACGAAACAAGUUACCCUAGGGAUAACAGCGCAAUCCACUUCGAGAGCCCAUAUCGACAAGUGGGUUUACGACCUCGAUGUUGGAUCAGGGUAUCCCAGUGGUGCAGCCGCUACUAAAGGUUCGUUUGUUCAACGAUUAAAACCCUA